CUAAGAAAAAUGUUAUAAUUUAAGCCACAACAGAAGAUGAUUUAAGAGAACAGUUCCUAGAACUAUUUAUUUUGGGAGAAAAAGGAAGUUACAGCAAAAAAUUGUUUAAUACCUGGGAUGUUCUUGAAUCAUACAUUACUUGCAUGUUUUUGUAUGGAAAUACAUUUAUUAUAGGAGUGGAUAUUGGAAACAUUUAUUUUUACCACAUCAGUUCAUGGAAAGAGUUCGAUAUUCGUAAUUAUCAAAAGAAAAUGAUAGUUGGUAGACAUCCUAUCAAUGGGAUUGAUGUAAGAGAAGACAGUCACCAAAGAAAAUUUUAUGUUCAUUCCAGCUUUAAAGUUCAUGAAAUAACAGGAUUAAGAGUAAACGAUUAUCAGUAUGAUUUACAUUGUGGUGUUUAAAAUGAGUCAAUGUACUUAAUACAUAAUAUUUUUCUUCAUUUAUACAUGUAGAGAUGCAUUAUAAAGAAACAAAUAUGUACCUAAGAACGAUAUGAUAAGGAAAAAUAGUUUCUAAUUUGAUAAGGGUCAUUAUUUAAAUAUGAAUAAUUUAUUAUUUUCAUGUGGAAUUAGAAAGUCAUGCUUUUGAUUACUUGUAAGGCCAAAAAUAAUGAAUAGGAUCGAUAAUGAUACGAAAAUGGUCCCCAAGCAGGGAGUUUAAUAAGUUAUCUAAAAAAAUUAUUAUGUUUCGUUCAGAGUAAAUUAUUCAUAUUUGUCGUAAUGUUAAUAAACUGUUAAUAAUAAUAUGUUUAGGUUGAUUUUAGACUGAACAUGUGUGUAUUGUUUAUAAUUAAUAUAUUUGUGAUCUAUUUUUGUUUAUGGCUGUUGCUGUUGUUUCAAGGAGAAUGGGGAAUUGUUUUAAAAUUACUCAGAUUUAUGAUUUGUUGGCAGUGUUCCUGCUGAUUUGCAUUUUUUACGUACUAUAAACAUUUCAAAACUGACAGGAAUGUUUGUACCCAUUCAAAAUUCUCUGUGUACAUAGCUACAGAAGAAUGCAGUAGUGUAAUUUUAUAGAAAAUGCAAUAUUGGUAAUAUAUUCGCUUUUAGUUUUAGCAUUUUACCUAGAUCUAAAUUUAAAAUAGCUGUUUGUUGCCGGUCAAAAACAAAAAAAUUUAUGUGAAUCGUCCUCUGUUAUAAAAAUGUAGCUUUUUAUAUUUUUUAUACUUUUGGCUGUGUCAUUUGUCAUAAGAAAAUAAAAUUAUUAAUCACA